rnacentral:rRNA from 1 species
ACGGUCCUAAGGUAGCGAAAUUCCUUGUCGGGUAAGUUCCGACCCGCACGAAAGGCGUAACGAUCUGGGCACUGUCUCAACGAGAGACUCGGUGAAAUUAUAGUACCUGUGAAGAUGCAGGUUACCCGCGACAGGACGGAAAGACCCCGUGGAGCUUUACUGCAGCCUGAUAUUGAAUUUUGGUACAGCUUGUACAGGAUAGGUAGGAGCCUUGGAAGCCGGAGCGCCAGCUUCGGUGGAGGCGUCGGUGGGAUACUACCCUGGCUGUAUUGAAAUUCUAACCCGCGCCCCUUAUCGGGGCGGGAGACAGUGUCAGGCGGGCAGUUUGACUGGGGCGGUCGCCUCCUAAAAUGUAACGGAGGCGCCCAAAGGUUCCCUCAGAAUGGUUGGAAAUCAUUCGCAGAGUGUAAAGGCACAAGGGAGCUUGACUGCGAGACCUACAAGUCGAGCAGGGACGAAAGUCGGGCUUAGUGAUCCGGUGGUUCCGCAUGGAAGGGCCAUCGCUCAACGGAUAAAAGCUACCCCGGGGAUAACAGGCUUAUCUCCCCCAAGAGUCCACAUCGACGGGGAGGUUUGGCACCUCGAUGUCGGCUCAUCGCAUCCUGGGGCUGUAGUCGGUCCC